rnacentral:rRNA from 1 species
GGUUAAGCGACUAAGCGUACACGGUGGAUGCCCUGGCAGUCAGAGGCGAUGAAGGACGUGCUAAUCUGCGAUAAGCGCCGGUAAGGUGAUAUGAACCGUUAUAACCGGCGAUUUCCGAAUGGGGAAACCCAGUGUGAUUCGUCACACUAUCAUUAACUGAAUCCAUAGGUUAAUGAGGCGAACCGGGGGAACUGAAACAUCUAAGUACCCCGAGGAAAAGAAAUCAACCGAGAUUCCCCCAGUAGCGGCGAGCGAACGGGGAGGAGCCCAGAGCCUGAAUCAGCAUGUGUGUUAGUGGAAGCGUCUGGAAAGGCGCGCGAUACAGGGUGACAGCCCCGUACACAAAAGCGCAUGUGCUGUGAGCUCGAUGAGUAGGGCGGGACACGUGGUAUCCUGUCUGAAUAUGGGGGGACCAUCCUCCAAGGCUAAAUACUCCUGACUGACCGAUAGUGAACCAGUACCGUGAGGGAAAGGCGAAAAGAACCCCGGCGAGGGGAGUGAAAAAGAACCUGAAACCGUGUACGUACAAGCAGUGGGAGCACAGGUUUACCUGUGUGACUGCGUACCUUUUGUAUAAUGGGUCAGCGACUUAUAUUCUGUAGCAAG